AGUGAACGCUGGCGGUAGGCCUAACACAUGCAAGUCGAACGGCAGCACAGUAAGAGCUUGCUCUUACGGGUGGCGAGUGGCGGACGGGUGAGGAAUACAUCGGAAUCUACUUUUUCGUGGGGGAUAACAUAGGGAAACUUACGCUAAUACCGCAUACGACCUACGGGUGAAAGCAGGGGAUCUUCGGACCUUGCGCGAUUGAAUGAGCCGAUGUCGGAUUAGCUAGUUGGCGGGGUAAAGGCCCACCAAGGCGACGAUCCGUAGCUGGUCUGAGAGGAUGAUCAGCCACACUGGAACUGAGACACGGUCCAGACUCCUACGGGAGGCAGCAGUGGGGAAUAUGGGACAAUGGGCGCAAGCCUGAUCCAGCCAUACCGCGUGGGUGAAGAAGGCCUUCGGGUUGUAAAGCCCUUUUGUUGGGAAAGAAAAGCAGCAGGUUAAUACCCCGCUGUUCUGACGGUACCCAAAGAGUAAGCACCGGCUAACUUCGUG
rnacentral:rRNA from 1 species